rnacentral:rRNA from 1 species
CCUACGGGAGGCAGCAGUGGGGAAUAUUGGGCAAUGGGCGCAAGCCUGACCCAGCAACGCCGCGUGAAGGUAGAAGGCUUUCGGGUUGUAAACUUCUUUUCUGAGGGACGAAGAAAGUGACGGUACCUCAGGAAUAAGCCACGGCUAACUACGUGCAAGCAGCGGCGGUAAUACGUAGGUGGCAAGCGUUAUCCGGAUUUAUUGGGUGUCAAGGGCUUGUAGGCGGGAAAGCAAGUCAGAUGUGAAAAGUCAGGGCUCAACCCUGAUCCUGCAUUUGAAACUGUUUUUCUUGAGUGCUGGAGAGGCAAUCGGAAUUCCGGGUGUAGCGGUGAAAUGCGUAGAUAUAGGGAGGAACACCAGUGGCGAAGGCGGAUUGCUGGACAGUAACUGACGCUGAGGCGCGAAAGCGUGGGGAGCAAACAGGAUUAGAUACCCCGGUAGUC